UAGAGUUUGAUCCUGGCUCAGGACGAACGCUGGCGGCGUGCCUAAUACAUGCAAGUCGAACGAACUCUGGUAAUGAUUGGUGCUUGCAUCAUGAAUUACAUUUGAGUGAGUGGCGAACUGGUGAGUAACACGUGGGAAACCUGCCCAGAAGCGGGGGAUAACACCUGGAAACAGAUGCUAAUACCGCAUAACAACUUGGACCGCAUGGUCCGAGUUUGAAAGAUGGCUUCGGCUAUCACUUUUGGAUGGUCCCGCGGCGUAUUAGCUAGAUGGUGAGGUAACGGCUCACCAUGGCAAUGAUACGUAGCCUUUCU
rnacentral:rRNA from 1 species